AUUGAACGCUGGCGGCAGGCCUAACACAUGCGAGUCGAACGGUAACAGGAAGCAGCUUGCUGCUUUGCUGACGAGUGGCGGACGGGUGAGUAAUGUCUGGGAAACUGCCCGAUGGAGGGGGAUAACUACUGGAAACGGUAGCUAAUACCGCAUAACGUCGCAAGACCAAAGAGGGGGACCUUAGGGCCUCUUGCCAUCGGAUGUGCCCAGAUGGGAUUAGCUAGUAGGUGGGGUAACGGCUCACCUAGGCGACGAUCCCUAGCUGGUCUGAGAGGAUGACCAGCCACACUGGAACUGAGACACGGUCCAGACUCCUACGGGAGGCAGCAGAGGGGAAUAUUGCACAAUGGGCGCAAGCCUGAUGCAGCCAUGCCGCGUGUAUGAAGAAGGCCUUCGGGUUGUAAAGUACUUUCAGCGGGGAGGAAGGGAGUAAAGUUAAUACCUUUGCUCAUUGACGUUACCCGCAGAAGAAGCACCGGCUAACUCCGUG
rnacentral:rRNA from 1 species